ACGCCAGACUCCUACGGGAGGCAGCAGUGGGGGAUAUUGCACAAUGGGGGGAACCCUGGUGCAGCGACGCCGCGUGGGUGAAGGAGUAUUUCGGUAUGUAAAGCCCUAUCGGCAGGGAAGAAAUUGGACGGUACCUGACUAAGAAGCCCCGGCUAACUACGUGCCAGCAGCCGCGGUAAUACGUAGGGGGCAAGCGUUAUCCGGAUUCACUGGGUGUAAAGGGAGCGUAGACGGCCAGGCAAGCCAGGAGUGAAAGCCCGGGGCCCAACCCCGGGACUGCUCUUGGAACUGCGUGGCUGGAGUGCAGGAGGGGCAGGCGGAAUUCCUGGUGUAGCGGUGAAAUGCGUAGAUAUCAGGAGGAACACCGGUGGCGAAGGCGGCCUGCUGGACUGCAACUGACGUUGAGGCCCGAAAGCGUGGGGAGCAAACAGGAUUAGAUACCCUUGUA
rnacentral:rRNA from 1 species